AUCCAACUCUCAGUUGGCAGCCAUCAUAUCAUUAAGAGUGGUGAACUUGUUUUUAGUGUCUUGGUUUCAAGGUUCCUAUUGGGUUCCGGUUCGCUCCAGAUCCGGCUAUCUCCGUUUCAAGGGGCAUGAUAUGUUGGCUCCUUUCACUGUUGGGUAGCAGUAUACUGAUUUGAAUCCUCUAGUUAUAGACAAGUUUGAGAGACCAAGUGUUCAAUGCCGAGAGAUGAAUAUAGGUGCAGCGGAGUCAGAAUUGAAUGAGAUUCUACAUUUUAAACUAUGGAAUCAACUUAAAAAUUUAGAGAAGGCAAAGGACCAAAAGCUGACAGAAAAUGAAAGAAAAUUGGAUUUAGCUUAAUGUAUAACUUUGGUAUUUUUAGUUUCAAUUUCUUUCAAACAAUACAUUCUAAU